rnacentral:rRNA from 1 species
UACGUAGGUGGCAAGCGUUGUCCGGAUUUAUUGGGUUUAAAGGGUGCGUAGGCGGUCAUAUAAGUCAGCGGUGAAAUCCGGCAGCUCAACUGUCGAUGUGCCAUUGAUACUGUAUGACUUGAGUACUGAUGAGGUAGGCGGAAUUGACGGUAUAGCGAUGAAAUGCUUAGAUAUCAUCAAGAACACCGAUAGCGAAGACAGCUUACUAAACAAUAACUGACGCUAAGACACGAAAGUAUGGGGAUCAAACAGG